ACCGGACCUAGCCAGUACGACCACAUUACCCUUUAGUGGGACGGGGCGUAGCGUAGUAUUUGUCUCGCCUUAGUUUGAGUCCUGCAAGUGUAAGGGGUAGUCCGAUCAUGGACACCUAUCGACCGGGCCUUCCCGACGUACUGGGGACGCCUUUCCUUCUCUUUAGAUGGCAGGGGUACAACCUAUGAGCUCCCAUUGAAUAAUGCCCCGCAGUUGGUCGCGGCAUUCCGGAGGGUCGAGCUGGUCGGGGAAUUUGCUACUCCUGGGUAAACGACCCCUCGGACUCUGGUGUUGGGAGGUACAACUCUAGGCGGCAUGUCUUAGGCUAAGGCGAGCAGGCGAAAAACUACGAUCGGGUACUUGUCGUGGCAUAUGUUGUUAUGCAGGGAUGAUGCCCACACGAUAAGUAUUCGGAUCUUGUGGGGAAAGUGUACAACCUCUGCAGAGUGUAAAUCUAUUCGAAUAGCCGUGUCCGCGGCAAUGGACGUGGGAAAGGAAGUGCUGAGUAUCAAAGGGAGUUUUGGUUUAUAAAAGUGAUUUUUCUCACAAAUGUUUCGGGAAAAUGAUGCCAGUGGAACUGGUGGAGAUGUACCUGGGAGGUACGGUGGAAAGUUGGAAAAGUUGUUUUGGCCAUAUGAGAUGGCCGGAAAGGAAAAUGGGUCACCCUUACCUAUUAGUCUUCAAAAGAAACUUGUUUUCAUAAAGGUUUUCAACAAAGAUAUAGAGAUGUCAUACUCUCGAGAGAAACUAUCUCUCACCCCUUGUAACCCAGUGCCUGUUCCUUGCUACUGCCAAAAUGCAUAUCCUUUACUUCUCUCUAAGGUGGUUUGCGAGUACAAUUCAUAAUGUACUCAUGGCUUUGUCCCUGGCUAUUUACUUGGCCAGACUUGGUGGAGUUCGGCAGAUGAAGAAGGAGUUGACGACGUCUAUGCGAGCUAGGAACGUCUUCCCAGUCAGUUGCCUGUAGGGUUACGGCAUGACUUGGGCCAUGCGAACGCUUUCAUCUGAAAUAUUUCCGCUGUGUGAUUGUUGAUCUCCUGCCAUUGCGGCUCUUAUGUAAGCAUUGGUCAUGUGACCUGUUGUAACCUUUUUAUUCGGUACUGUAAUGGAUGAUGUAUUUGAUACCAGUUCGGUUAUGCUUUCACGACACACUGAUCAUGGGAUCGUGAAUGUGUAUGCAUAACGGGUGUUUCGGACAGCUAGUCCGGGGCCCCACAGUGCC